rnacentral:rRNA from 1 species
GAUGAACGCUAGCGGCAGGCUUAACACAUGCAAGUCGAGGGGCAGCAUGACGGAACUUUCGGGUUUUGUUGAUGGCGACCGGCGCAAGGGUGCGUAACGCGUGAGCAACUUGCCCGUUUCUGGGGAAUAACCGGUGGAAACGCCGACUAAUACCCCAUGGCAUUGAUUUCAGGCAUCUGUUAUCAAUUAAAGAAUUUCGGAAACGGAUAGGCUCGCGUGACAUUAGCUAGAUGGCGGGGUAACGGCCCACCAUGGCGACGAUGUCUAGGGGUUCUGAGAGGAAGGUCCCCCCACACUGGAACUGAGACACGGUCCAGACUCCUACGGGAGGCAGCAGUGAGGAAUAUUGGUCAAUGGUCGGAAGACUGAACCAGCCAAGUAGCGUGAAGGAUGAAGGUUCUAUGGAUUGUAAACUUCUUUUAUACGGGAAUAAAACCACUACAUGUAGGUGCUUGUAUGUACCGUAUGAAUAAGCAUCGGCUAACUCGUGCCAGCAGCCGACGG